CCUGCACAGACCAUCGAAGAGGCAACAUGUAAGCUGUCACACUGAGAAAGGAGCCUCUGUGGUCUCUGGGUGAGAGCGAAGAAAGGCAAUGGUCUCAAACCAAUCUAACAGCCUCUAGGACGGCAUCACACAAAAUCCACCUUCUUAGCAUCAUGCUGCCCAAAGGGAGCAAAUUCCCACUAUAUAUGAAGAGCUGGAGCAGACGAAAAGAAAAGGCGAUCAAAAUGGUAAUGAGCCGAAGAUUCUCUCCUGGGCUUCGCCUGGCGAAAGGACGACUCACAGGUGAUGAGUUUGUGUCUAACGGUAGCCUGUCUGGUCACCAGCUCUUCUCCCUUACCUGAGUUCCAAACAGGACUCAGAGAACCAAGAAACACACUGCCCAACACCAGACCGCCACCAUGCAACUGAACGAACAUCCGCUGUAGGAUGCUGGCUCUAUUCACAGUCUGCAGCAUCCAGAGUCCCAAUGUGUGACCCCAGAAGCGGAUUGUCACAGAUUCCUGUAAACGCCGCUCACUGUUCUAUAAACUGUCACCAAACACGACUGUGUCGGCACCGAAGUGCCGGGAGGAAAGCUGACAGUAAGAAGGCCCCGAGUCUGUGCCUCCCGUGGCCUGGGCCAGAUCUCCAUCUGUGACCCGCCAGUGCGUGGUCCCAAGAGGCCAUCGUCCAAAUACCACCCACUCACCCUGCUGUCUGGCCAAGAUGAAAGUGUCAUUCCAGCACAGAGCCCGGGCCUCCAGUCUCAUUUCUGAGACACUCUGACCAGCUGCCUCUGAAGGACACACAGACCUUCAGCUCUGUGUCAGUGAGAAAAUUCAAACAAACAGAGGCACCUGGCCCAGGAGCACAGAGCUACCCAAUAGCAGAGACAUAUUUGAAAUUCACAUAUUUCCAACCAGUGGCAAAACCCCUGCCCCUCUACCUGUUUUCUACCCACAGGAUCAUCUUCGGAGGUCUACAUUGAAUGGUCUACGGCCACUCCUAUCCAUCUCCCGCCUUGCCUACUUUCCACAGUGACUCACAUACGGUGGAUGCUUACUAUUAUAUGCCAGCUAAUUUGAAGAUACGCAUAUCCCCAAUAGGAUAUCUACAGUAUUUUUCCACACAAGCAUGAACUUAAAUCAAUCAACUUUGUUUUCAGGUAUGCAUACUCCAUACAAGCAUCUCAGAAUCACCCAUUGCCUGGCGCACAGGGCAGCAACUGGACAACCACUCAGCAGGAAAACCACCUGUCACUCAAAGCAACCACAGACACAAAGAAUCAACAUGGUCCGGCCAAGAUUCUGCAGUAUCAUUACCAGAUAUGGAGGCAGUCCCUUUAGGGAUAUGAGUGAAUUAAGGCUGCUGUCCUAAAAGAUAGUAAGUGAGCUCAUAAUAGCUCACUCUGGAAUGUGAGUUUGCACUUUUUCCUGAUAAAUACCGAUGAGAGUAUGCAGACUAACACUGAAAACGUCUGAAUCAUGCCAGCAAACCACCUGGCUUGUUCUUCAUCUUGACUCAGUUCCUUCCCGCAACCCUUCCAGUGGCAGCAAGGCCACAGCCAAGAAGACAGCCCAGCAACAGGAGACCUUCUGCAGCUCUGAAGCCCCGGGGGAGGUCCUUGAACCUCUAUAAAGUUGGCGCUAUUAAAAUAAAGACACAGCUAUUGGUGAAUUGUGGUGCCACUCACAUGAGACAAAGCGGUUGGUGCCUGAAUGGUACUCAGUUACUGUUGGGAGGGAAAGAAAUUCUCUGAGCUUCCGAGAGGCAGGGCCUCAGUUUCCUCACUUAUAAAAUAAAGGAAAUAAAUGCUAUGUAUCUCCUUGAGUUGCGAUAAUAA